UAAAAAAAUGCAUUCCCUUAGGUCCUGAGCAA
rnacentral:piRNA from 1 species